UGGGGAAUAUUGCACAAUGGGCGAAAGCCUGAUGCAGCAACGCCGCGUGAGUGAAGAAGGUUUUCGGAUUGUAAAGCUCUGUCUUUGGGGACGAUAAUGACGGUACCCAAGGAGGAAGCCCCGGCUAACUACGUGCCAGCAGCCGCGGUAAUACGGAAGGUCCGGGCGUUAUCCGGAUUUAUUGGGUUUAAAGGGAGCGUAGGCUGCCCGGCAAGCGUGCUGUGAAAUACAGUGGCCCAACCACUGGACUGCAGCGCGAACUGUCGGGCUUGAGGGCGCACGACGCAGGCGGAAUUUGUGGUGUAGCGGUGAAAUGCUUAGAUAUCACGAAGAACCCCGAUUGCGAAGGCAGCUUGCGGGAGCGCGACUGACGCUGAAGCUCGAAAGUGCGGGUAUCAAACAGGAUUAGAUACCCUGGUAGUCCGCACGGUAAACGAUGGAUGCCCGUUCUGCGGCCUUCGGGCCGCGGGACCAAGCGAAAGCAUUAAGCAUCCCACCUGGGGAGUACGCCGGCAACGGUG
rnacentral:rRNA from 1 species